AUGAUGAUGAUGACAUACUCCAUGGUCCCGAUCAAGGUCCUAUUGGAAUUAUGUAACAGCAGAAAAGACAUGUGUUUAACAGGACCACCAGGACCUCCAGGAAUUCCAGGUGUGGAUGGGAAGCCAGGAUUCAAUGCUACAGAUGGUAUUCCAGGACCACCUGGAGUUGCAGGGAGACCUGGAAAAAAAG